rnacentral:piRNA from 1 species
UCUAAAUCGCUCUUAGUGAUGUCAGG